rnacentral:rRNA from 1 species
CGCGGCCUAUCAGCUUGUUGGUGAGGUAACGGCUCACCAAGGCAUCGACGGGUAGCUGGUCUGAGAGGAUGAUCAGCCACACUGGGACUGAGACACGGCCCAGACUCCUACGGGAGGCAGCAGUGGGGAAUAUUGCACAAUGGGCGCAAGCCUGAUGCAGCAACGCCGCGUGCGGGAUGAAGGCCCUAGGGUUGUAAACCGCUUUCAGCAGGGAAGAAAAUGACGGUACCUGCAGAAGAAGGUGCGGCCAACUACGUGCCAGCAGCCGCGGUGACACGUAGGCACCAAGCGUUGUCCGGAUUUAUUGGGCGUAAAGAGCUCGUAGGCGGUUCAGUAAGUCGGGUGUGAAACCUCUGGGCUCAACCCAGAGACGCCACCCGAUACUGCUGUGACUUGAGUACGGUAGGGGAGCGGGGAAUUCCUGGUGUAGCGGUGAAAUGCGCAGAUAUCAGGAGGAACACCAGUGGCGAAGGCGCCGCUCUGGGCCGUAACUGACGCUGAGGAGCGAAAGCGUGGGUAGCAAACAGGAUUAGAUACCCUGGUAGUCCACGCCGUAAACGUUGGGCACUAGGUGUGGGUCUCGACCAACGAGAUCCGCGCCGUCGCUAACGCAUUAAGUGCCCCGCCUGGGGAGUACGG